CAUUGUAAAUAAACUUUUCUUCUGCUUUGUAACUGAGUGAUUACUACUUUUCAUUAUUGGGUAGUAAAAGGCACAGCGGUAAAAAAGCCGUUUACACAAAAUAUAUUUGCUAUUGGUUCUUGUUUUUGUAUUGCUACAAUAACUAAUCAAAUUAUUCGCUUUGAAAAAAUAACUGUUAAAAUCGAACCGCAC
rnacentral:misc_RNA from 1 species